CUUCGCCCUUCACCCACCAAGCCCUCGUCGUUCCUCUUCAACCCCAGCAUCCCCCUGGGUUCCUGUGCAGGCCUCGGCUUCCAGGAACCCUGCCUUGGAGUGUGUGUGUGGCUCUGUGACCGGCAAGCAGGAGGCCACGGCUGUCCCACCCUCAGGGCUCUCACAUGUAGAGACGGGGUUUUACCGUGUUAUCCAGGAUGGUCUUGAUCUCCUGACCUUGUGAUCCGCCUGCCUUGGCCUCCCAAGCUGGGAUUACAGGUGUGAGCCACCGCGCCCGGCCGAGAAGUCAAGUCUUUCAGGACAUACCUAAAGAAGAUAGCAUCCAUGGUGCAUGGAGCAUGUGCCUCACCAGGCAUCACCAUACCCACCACAGCUCAUGCGUGCGGAUGCCUUUGCUACCCAGGACGGCCAUACAAGGAAGCCAUUGGGUCAGUCCUGUGCACAAACGGCAUGUCAAGAAAUUAAAUGAUUUCCUCAGGGCCCCGCAAUUACCUUCAGCAAAGCUGAGAUUCCCAGCCUUCUCUCCGCUCCCUGAGACUGACUCUGAAUUGCUUUUCUGCUGGAGAUGAAAACAAGAACAGAAACAGUGGAAACUAAUCACAUUUUUAAAAGUUUUACAUAACCACUUAAUUAUAAUACGCCUGCCCCAAAAGCACUCCUAACGUCCUAACACAUGUACUUGUGAUUUUUCUUUAAACCUCAAAUAUUAUCGUCAUGGAAGAAAUACUCACAGUCCAUCAAGCUUGCCUGUCAGGAGCAUUUCCACCCUACAGACCAGCCAUGGAGGCAGAGUGCAGCCCGGGUCUGUGGGUCACCAGGCCUCAAAUGCCAUCCCAGCGCCAGUGAAAGUUUGCUGUGUUCCUUUACACUGUCCCCUGUGGGCCUGGCUUCCCUGUGAGAAGGUUAAAGAGCCCCAAACAAAACACGCAUUGAAACCUGCCUCCACAGCCCUCUCGGGCCUGCACAGGGCUGACCGGCACCCCUGGAGCCUGUCCACCUCUGGAAGGGCAGUUGCAUGGCUCUGAGCACCGACGGAAACCCCUCGACCUGGAGAGGCCGCCUGCGUGGGGCCGACGUUGCACAGGCUGACCUUGUAGGGCGGUGGGUGGGGGAUGCGGGGCAGGGGGCACAGCCCGGGCGCUCUUCCAGUGCUGGUUUGUCUAUUUCAUGUUGUCCACCCUGUCAUCCACCAAUUGUUCUUUGGGUCCAUUGGUAAUAAUAUCUCCCGCAUGGAUGGGCUCUUCCCAGAGCCUCGUGGGUGCUGAAUGAAGCCCAAGGAAUGGCCUUCACCAGACACUUUGUUUUGUUUUUUCUGUUUAUAAAAGGCAGGGCCCAGAUAGUUUCAUUUUCACAGGGACAUCUGUAAGCACACACUUUGAUUUACACUGGGAAGAGCCAAUGGUUCUCAUUUACAGAGGGUCAAGCUCCAGGAGGGAGGCAAGGGGACGCUUUGGAAAAUAAAGUUCUUCCUUUUACUCCUGUGGGCCUGAUGUGCUCUGUGAAGUUCAAACACUGUAUCGACCAUCUCAACUCUCAGGACAGCAUGUGACACCUCCAUCACUGGGAGCAAACUCUGUGCAGGAGCACCUGAUUCUGCCAGGGCAGGAAAUUCACUCUCAGAAGCAUGUUCCACUCAAGCGGACUUGGCCUGCGCUGUGAGUCAAUGUAAAGAGGGUGUGUUGGCUUCGGCUGGUUGACCUUCAGAAGUCGGAGAAGGCCAAAGUCCCACUGAAUAAACUGCAGAUGAAAGAGACUCAUGGGUCCUCAGAAGGAGGCAUAUGGCUGCUCUCGGGAUCUUGACUUUUGAAAUAUUUGUUUAAAGCAAACACUUGCAGUGGCCGUGGAAAGCCUCCCGUUUCCUCUGGACCCUCAGCCUCUCCCUCGCAGGGCACCGGGCUCUCUCCCUCGGGGACAAUGAGGCGAGAGAGGCUUUUGUUUAUUCUUCAGGAGUCUCUGAGAGUUCACAGUCAUGUUAAAAAUUAACCUGGGGCCAGGCGCGGUGGCUCAUGCCUGUAAUCCCAGCACUCUGGGAGGCCAAGGCACAGGCGGGUCACCUGAGGUCAGGAGUUCAAGACCAGCUUGGCCAACAUGGAGAAACCCCAUCUCUACUAAAAAUACAAAAAUGAGUCGGGUGUAGUGAUGGGUGCCUGUAGUCCCAGCUACUCAGGAGGCUGAGGCAGGAGACUCACUUGAACCCGGGAGGCGGAGUUUGCAGUGAACCGAGGUCGUGCCACCGUACUCCAGCCUGGGUGACAGAGUGAGACUCUGUCUCAAAAAAAAAAAAAAAAAAAAAUUAAGAAAAAGAAAAAAGAGACCAAGCAUGGUGGCUCAUGCCUGUAAUCCCAGCACUUUGGGAGGCCGAGGUAGGCUGAUCACCUGAGGUCAGGAGUUCAAGACCAGCCUGGCCAACAUGGUGAAACCACGUCUCUACUAAACGUAUAAAAAAUUAGCUGGGUGUGGUGGCGAGCACCUGUAAUCCCAGCUACUCAGGAGGCUGAGGCAGGAGAAUUGCUUGAACUUGGGAGGCAGAGAUUGUGGUGAGCCAAGAUCACGCCACUGCACUCCAGCCUGGGCGACAGAGUGAGACUGUGUCUAAAAAAAAAAAAAAAAAAAAAAUUAGCCUGGGCUCACACCAGCCUUGGGCUCCGCCGCUGGGCUCUCCUCAGAGUCCUUGGUCACACGGGCUGACACUUUGCCGAGUCCUGGCCCCAGGCCCAGAGGGACUCACCUUGCAGGAAGGGAGGGCCUCCUGAUUCCGGAUCCCACAGUCUGGAAUCACCAGACUGGGGCAAAUCCAUCUUCUGCCACUAAAACUUACCAGCAUCUUAAAGCCCAAAGUGCCCUUUUAUCUGUAUUUGCAAAUACAAGCUUAUUAUUUUCUAGAAAGAGACUCCUUACAACGAACAAAGUGCAAAGCAGUGUCCAUAUUUUAAUAGGCCUGAGCCUCAGGUGGGUGAUGCCUGCAUUUCAGGCUCAGCUCUGCACUUGAGCUGUAAAUAUGCGUUCCUUGAGAUUAAGACGAAAAGGAAAACCGUCCGACAAAUGUGUUUGGUGGAUUAUGACACCAUGACGCGUGGCCUCAGUUUCCUCACUUUGAAAAAUAUCCUUCAAGCAGCACAGAGCGGGCGGUUUGUCUCACGCUGGAGAAGGAAUUCAGACGCAAAGCUCGCCGCAGCCUCAGAGGGCAGGCGCACCAGGCUCCUGGGUUCUCUCCGUGAAGGAAACUGACGAAGCCUUCCCGAAGGCUGAUUUCUAACUGCCUGAUGCUUCCAACGAGGUGGAGCUGUGGGCACAGACUCCCCUGAAAAGCUGAAGACACGCGCGGAGAGUGGGCACUGGACACUGGUUUCCAGCCCCUUAGCCUGGUGCCUUCAGAGACCGCGCCCCACCUCAGGGCUCGGCUGGCAGCAGGAGCCGGCGUGGAACGGCACAGACGCCGGUGCUGGGGGUUGGGACGGGCGGGAUAGAGCCUCAAGUCUGUCUGCGGCCUGAGGCCUUUCUGUGGGCUGCUGCAGACGAUCACUGCCAGGUGGAGAAGAAAGCCCAAGACAAGCUCUGGUUUUUCUGCAUCUCUUAUUCCCAAACUGAUGUAUAUUUAGCUUCAGAGUAGCUGAACCUCCUCCUCCGCCCCCCAGCCCCCAUCUCCCUGUUAGAAACAAUCUGUGGGACCUGAACAUCCUCCCAGGGUCUAAGACCAGGCUCUCUGCUGAGCCACACUUUGAGAACAGUGCUGUAAUUAAAUACACACGUGUAUUUUUUUAAAAUAACAAAAUAUAUUUAAAAACGUAUUUUUCCUACCUAUUCCCUUGUAAUGUUUCUCUUUAGAUGUGAACAUAAUUAAAUGUAAAUUUGUUUUACUCCAUUUUUAUUAUCCAAGUGUUUUUUACUUUGUGAUUCUUUAAGUUCCUUAGAUUUAUAAUUAUAAAGUUGUUAAAUUUUCUGUUAAAUUUAUAAACUAUAUUUGUCU
rnacentral:lncRNA from 10 species